rnacentral:rRNA from 1 species
GACGAACGCUGGCGGCGUGCUUAACACAUGCAAGUCGAACGGAAAGGCCCUGCUUUUGUGGGGUGCUCGAGUGGCGAACGGGUGAGUAACACGUGAGUAACCUGCCCUUGACUUUGGGAUAACUUCAGGAAACUGGGGCUAAUACCGGAUAGGAGCUCCUGCUGCAUGGUGGGGGUUGGAAAGUUUCGGCGGUUGGGGAUGGACUCGCGGCUUAUCAGCUUGUUGGUGGGGGAGUGGCUUACCAAGGCUUUGACGGGUAGCCGGCCUGAGAGGGUGACCGGCCACAUUGGGACUGAGAUACGGCCCAGACUCCUACGGGAGUCAGCAGUGGGGAAUAUUGCACAAUGGGCGGAAGACUGAUGCAGCAACGCCGCGUGCGGGAUGACGGCCUUCGGGUUGUAACCCGCUUUCGCCUGUGACGAAGCGUGAGUGACGGUAAUGGGUAAAGAAGCACCGGCUAACUACGUG